rnacentral:rRNA from 1 species
AUUGAACGCUGGCGGCAGGCCUAACACAUGCAAGUCGAACGAGUGGCGGACGGGUGAGUAAUGUCUGGGAAACUGCCCGAUGGAGGGGGAUAACUACUGGAAACGGUAGCUAAUACCGCAUACCAUCGGAUGUGCCCCUAUGGGAUUAGCUAGUAUGUGGGGUAACGGCUCACCUGGGCGACGAUCCCUAGCUGGUCUGAGAGGAUGACGAGCCACACGGGAACUGAGGAACGGUCCAGACUCCUACGGGAGGCAGUGGUGGGGAAUAUUGCACAAUGGGCGCAAGCCUGAUGCAGCCAUGCCGCGUGUAUGAAGAAGGCCUUCGGGUUGUAAAGUAUUUUCAGCGAGGAGGCGUUACUCGCAGAAGAAGCACCGGCUAACUCCGUGCCAGCAGCCGCGGUAAUAC